UGUGCAAGAGAGCAAACAAGGAUUUAUUUUCAAAGGAAUCUUUCAGAAAUACUUUUAGGCAGAGAAACAUCUUUGCUGCUGUACUCCUUGAUGUUAAAUCAGUUAUUGUUUGUAGUCACACUGAUGAACAUAGGAAAGGCCUGGGCAGAUUGCUGACAAAAAACUGAUUUCCCUUUAAAUAAUCUAGAUUUUCUCUGUUAAUUGGAGGGCUGGAAUUUGUACUGAUUGUUUAGAAAUACACAGAAAAGAAGAAAACCAACCCACACAGCUGCCCAAACUCAUUUGGUUUGAACACAGGCCAGCAGUGGCCUCAGAGCUGUGCCACAGGAUGUGACCCCGGAGGCUGUGCAGCCUCUCCUGAAGCCACCCCCAAAUCCAGAGGGAUGGAGCAGCCUCGGGGGGCUCUGCUGAGUGGCCCUGAUCUGUCAGGGGAUCAGGAGAACUGCAGGCUCACCCCCAGCCCUUCCCCACAUCGCAGGUUUCUCCCAGACCAUGGAAAUAACACAGAUAAUUUUUCCUUAAAAUGACAACAACUCCCAGACUCGGAGCUGUACAACCAAACCAGAGGCCCAGAACCUGCAAAUUGCUGCAUGUUGGACACCUGGAGUGCCAAACCACCCCUGCACCUGCACAGGGCUUCUCAUGGACACAGUGGUGACAGGGCUGUUCUUCUCCUCCAAAAACCCAGUUCAACAGCCCAGCGGUGGGAAGGAGGCUGUGAACAUCCAGCUGUGCCCUGGGACACUUUGGGUGGCCACUGAUUGAACCACAACCUUCGGCCUGCCUGGUCUUGGGAUGCCAAACCAGCACUGCCACGUUGGAUUUGGUGUUGGAGCUCAAGACAAAAGUUCUGAAAUGAUUUCAAAAUAGCGAAAAUUUGAUUUCUAGGCACUCUCAGUGUUUCUUUUUGGGCUUUGAUGCUCUGGUGCACAUUUUAAGUGACAACUGAGGUUAAAAUACCUGUUGUAGAGCUCAGGGAUAACUCAGCACUCUCCUGUGUCCCUCCACCAUUUCUCUGGUGUCCCUGGGAUGGCUCAGGAGACACCACAACAAAGAGAAAUGCAGAUUAUCCCAUCUCAGGUAAGACUCCAGCAUUCACCUGCCCCUGGAAAUCCACCUGGAUAUUGCCUGGCACCUGCUGCUCCCCAAACAUCUCCUCAACCUACCCUGAGCAUGGUUUUACCUGUUAAACGUGAUACCCUGUGGGAAAAUCAGAGCCAAGAUGGGCUGAAAGCUUUGCCUAAUUAAAAAAUAGAGGAGACAGUUCAAAGUCCUUCUGUGAUCCCAUGGGAAUGGAGGAUGCAAGGAAUAAUGGAGAGAGAUGAAAGGAGGAUGUGCAGACAACUGGGGGAAAGACAUGAAGAGUAAAAAUAAAGAGAUUAAUCAAAAGGAAGCCUCUGACAACUAGAGGGAAGGACAGAGCUGGCUAGAGAGCAAAUAUAACAGGGCAGAAGAGGAAGGUGAUGUAGGACAGAUAGGAAAGGAAAACCCUAAACAAAGCAUAAAAUGUAAAAUAAGUUAAACCAGCAUGAGUCACUUUGCCGUAGUCAGCCCAUCUCUCACAGGCAGCACGCAAAGGGCAGAGGCUGCGAGGUCCAGAGCCACUGAUGGUAUCACCUCCCACACAGACAUUUCUCACCCAAAAAGCACCCACACCCCACAGCCCAUCCUGCUCCCUGCUGCAGAAAUGACUGUGCAGGAAUGAAAACCACACCAGUGCCUGUGCCAAGAGCUCAGCAAAGGGCAGCAGCUUUUGGGGGGCUAAGGGGGCGUGCAGGAACCUCCCAGCACUGCUUGUCACAGACACAAUCCCUAAAUAAUUGCCAGGCACGAGGCAGCGAGAGCCUGGCACAGCUCUGCUGAGCAGAACACUUCUGAGCUGCUGCUACUACAAGUUUACAACACCUCUCCUCAUUGGGCUCGAGUUUAAAACUCCUGAUUUGCUCUGAGCUGCUCUGGAAUCGCUCAGGGCCCAGGCAGCAUCCCCAGAUCCCAUUUUCUGCUUUUCCUGGAGACUUUCUGGUUGCUGUGCAGCCCCAGAGCUGUCCCACCUCCAAACUCCUGAGGAUCCAUCAGCAUCCAGAUCUCCUGGAUCCAUCAGGAGAGCUCUGACAGCCAAGGAUGGGUGAGUGACUGACUGACACCCCACUCCCACCCAAACCUCAUCUCCCUGCAGCUCCCUGAGACCAGGGAUGUGUUCCCAGGGAGAAGGGGCUACUCCCUCACCCCAGCUCCUGCCAGUCCCCUCUCCAAGGAUUUUCUCCUAUUUUCUGCUCAGCAAAGCUUCAGGAGGUGACAAGUCACAAUCCCACUGCCUGGAGAUUCUGAUUUCCCCCUCCCUCCUGCAGUGUGCAGGUGAGGGGUGCACCAGUCCUAGACUUGGAAAAGCAGGGAUUUUUCAGGGAUGUGUUCUGUGCUUUGCUGCAAAUCAAACUCCUCUUCUCUGAAGCGCAGCAUAUUUAAUUCACUGAUUACAGACCGAAACAAGAAAUUAACAUUAAACCUUAGAAACCAGGACUCUUUGAGACCCCUUUCAGCAAUGCCAGAAAGGAGGUUUUGGCAAGUUUCAAUCGAUAUUUUUCCCACCAGGGGCCUGGAAGGUGGCCAGGGCUCUGUGGGAGCACUGGGGCUUUGUUUGCCUCAAUUCCCAGCAGGCACAAGUGCCUUGUCCCCUGUCCUGCUCCUGCUGCAGGAAUUCUGUGUCAAUAAACUCCACAGGCUGGGAGGGACUGGGAGCUCUGCCCUCACUGUCAUUAGGACUUGGAUUCAUUAAUUAACCUUUUCAGGGUGGGAAGUGCUGUGCUGAGACCUGGAUUUCAACAUCCUGGGGUUUUCAGGACUCUCCCCAAGGCAGGCACAAAUCCCUGCUCCCUUUCCCAAAGGACAGCUUUCAAAACCCUGCUGACCUUUCCUUUUCUAAGGCAUAUUCUUGUAAAAAUCUGACCCCUGAAGGUGCCAAAGGAUGCUCCUCACUUUUAUCCACGUCAAGAUUUGGGUUCUGAGCACAAGGAGAGCUGACUCCAGUGAUAAAUAAUUCUAUCCACCCCAUUAGUCCUUCUCUGGGGCUUAGAAAAGCAGGAAUAUGCUCGUUACAGAGUUUAUUUUCCCACUCUUCUCCUGGAAAACAUUAUUUAUUCACAGUUAGGUGAAUAUGUGCACUCAGGGACAAAAAUCUCAUUUUUAAGCCUUGAAUGUCACAGGCUUUUUGCCUCUCAUUUCAGUCUCCUUGAAAGGGCAAAUCCAAGGUGCUCCCAAAUUCCUUAAUUUGGUUGCUUGGCUUUCUGGACCAAAAACAUCAUCCCACUCAAGGGAACAGAGUUUUAAUUGCUGCAUAAUUAAAGAAAAGGGCCACUUCUUGUGGUUUUUUUCCUGUGUGAAGUACAGUGCACCACAGAAGUGUUAUAUAUAUUAAAAAGAUGACAGAAAUUAAAAAGAAAUGUUAAAUCAGAAGGAAAGGUUUGCAGAAAUUGUGAGGCAUUUAGUGAAGAAAACAAAUGUAGUUGUAAGAAACCACAUUUUAGCAAAAAAAAAUAAAAA
ensembl:lncRNA